AGAGUUUGAUCAUGGCUCAGAAUCAACGCUGGCGGCGUGCCUCAGACAUGCAAGUCGAACGAUUAAACUCUUCUUCGGAAGAGAUAUAAAGUGGCGCACGGGUGAGUAACACGUAAGUNAUCUACCUUUGAGUGGGGAAUAACAGUCGGAAACGACUGCUAAUACCGCAUAAUGCAGCGGCACCUAAUGGUGACAGUUGUUAAAGUAUUUAUACGCUUAAAGAGGAGCUUGCGGCAGAUUAGCUAGUUGGUAAGGUAACGGCUUACCAAGGCGACGAUCUGUAUCCGACCUGAGAGGGUGGUCGGACACACUGACACUGAAUAACGGGUCAGACUCCUACGGGAGGCAGCAGUCGGGAAUUUUGGGCAAUGGGCGAAAGCCUGACCCAGCAACGCCGCGUGAAGGAUGAAGUCUUUCGGGAUGUAAACUUCGUAAGAAUAGGAAGAAUAAAUGACGGUACUAUUUGUAAGGUCCGGCUAACUACGUGCCAGCAGCCGCGGUAAUACGUAGGGACCAAGCGUUGUUCGGAUUUACUGGGCGUAAAGGGCGCGUAGGCGGCGUGUCAAGUCAAUUGUGAAAUCUCAGGGCUUAACCCUGAACGGUCAAUUGAUACUGAUGUGCUAGAGUGCAGAAGGGGCAAUCGGAAUUCUUGGUGUAGCGGUGAAAUGCGUAGAUAUCAAGAGGAACACCUGAGGUGAAGACGGGUUGCUGGGCUGACACUGACGCUGAGGCGCGAAAGCUAGGGUAGCAAACGGGAUUAGAUACCCCCGUAGUCC
rnacentral:rRNA from 1 species